rnacentral:rRNA from 1 species
GGCGGCAAGGGGUAAGAGUUGCACGUGUAAGUGAGGUGGCGGGGGCGAUGGGGAUAGGUCGAGCAGUCCGGCCGGGAGUGGGUGUGGCGCGGGACGUAGACGGCGACGCAGACGGCGGGCACGGUGCGGGUUGAUGCGGACGGCGGGCACGGCGCGGGUCGACGCAGACGGCGGCCGCGGUUUAGAGACGAUCGCCCUCGUCUUCCUAUCCUUCCUCUCUUGGCGUACGUGACUGAAAGAAGGGGUAGCGGCCGCGAUCCAAAUCUGCCGGGGAAGAGCAGCUUAGGCCGGCGCUGCAUCAGGGGCUCCUCCGCGAGCUCGAGAUAGCCCGCUGGGUCGCGUUCCGCCGCAGACUCCGCCUACGUCUCCACAGCCUAAGCAGAGGUGGCCUAGCCGCCGACGCCGUGGUCUACGUCGCCUAGCCCGCGAAGAGAAAGUGGCCGCUCGACGGGCAGCCGGACGCAUCCCCCUCCUCAGCUUCCUCGACCACAGCGCGAGUAAGAGCGCAACCGGGCUACACUCUUGAGGAGCGGAACCGGGCUACACUCUUGAGGAGCGGAACCGGGUUACACUCUUGAGGGCGAGGCGCGCGGCGAGCGUCGACGUUUUCUUGUAACUUCCCUACGAGCACCUUCUACUCCAGUUCUUCCAUGCUCUUCUUGCAACUACCCUACGAGUGCCUUCUACUCCAGUUCUUCCACCUAUGCGGGUACUACGUAUCCUACCGCUUUCUCCACGUCCCUCGGCUGCCGGACAGGCGUCACUCCUUCACUACCUCCUUGUCGGUGGGUGAACUCCCACCCAUGUGCCAUCGUUCCCGCGGUUGACCCUUCCGCUGCGACGACGGCCCGCCGCUCCAGCAGCAGGUGGUUCCGCUACUACGAAGGCACGCCGCUCCCCUAGGAGGAGUCACUCCUCCACUACUCCUUGUUGGUGCGUGAACUACCCACCCAUGUCCCGCCGCUCCCGCGGCUGGUCCUUCCCCUGAGCCGACGGCCCGCCGCUCCAGCAGCAGGUGGUUCCGCUGCUUCGAAGGCACGCCGCUCCGCUAGUUGGACCCCUAGACAAAGAUAAAAAUACCCUAUAUGCGUACAAAAAAAAAGAAACGUACCGGAUACACUACGCACUAACAUCCCCCAAACCAGCUCACGCACACCCCAGAGAUAAAAAGAGGCGCCACCUCAUGCCAGUCGCUUCAAUUUAGCC